rnacentral:rRNA from 1 species
UUAAGGUCUAAACUGCUCAAUGAUUAAUUAAAUUGCCGCAGUAUUUUGACUGUGCGAAGGUAGCAUAAUAAUUAGUUUCUUGAUUAGAACCUAGAAUGAAUGAUUGGACGAGAAAGUUACUGUCUCUUUGGGAUUGUUUAUUGAAUUUUAUUUUUGAGUUAAAAAGCUUAAAUUUAAAUAAAAGACGAGAAGACCCUAUAGAGUUUAAUAUUUAAUUUUGUAUUAAAUGUUAGUAAAAAUUUUAUUGGUUAAGUAUUUAGUUGGGGUGACUUAAAGAUUGGUUAAAUUCUUUAAUUAUUUAAUUGUUGAUAAAUAAUUUCUAAAUCUAGUUUUUUAAAUUUAAAAUUAAUUACCUUAGGGAUAACAGCGUAAUUUUUCUUUAAAGUUCAUAUUGAAAGAAAAUUUUGCGACCUCGAUGUUGGAUUAAAAUUAAUUUUUGGUGCAGUAACUUAAAAAUUAGGUCUGUUCGACCUUUAAAAUUUUACAUGAUCUGAGUUUAAACCGGUGUAAGCCAGGUUGGAUUCUAUCUUUAUAUAGUUAAUAUAUUUUAGUACGAAAGGACCAAAUAUAUAUUAAAAAUUAAUUA